GUCACCAUUUGCUUCAGUGGUAGAAUGCUCGCCUGCCACGCGGGCGCUCCAGGUUCGAUUCCCGGCCGAUGCA
rnacentral:tRNA from 1 species